AUUGAACGCUGGCGGCAGGCCUAACACAUGCAAGUCGAACGGUAACAGGAAGAAGCUUGCUUCUUUGCUGACGAGUGGCGGACGGGUGAGUAAUGUCUGGGAAACUGCCUGAUGGAGGGGGAUAACUACUGGAAACGGUAACUAAUACCGCAUAACGUCGCAAGACCAAAGAGGGGGACCUUCGGGCCUCUUGCCAUCGGAUGUGCCCAGAUGGGAUUAGCUAGUAGGUGGGGUAACGGCUCACCUAGGCGACGAUCCCUAGCUGGUCUGAGAGGAUGACCAGCCACACUGGAACUGAGACACGGUCCAGACUCCUACGGGAGGCAGCAGUGGGGAAUAUUGCACAAUGGGCGCAAGCCUGAUGCAGCCAUGCCGCGUGUAUGAAGAAGGCCUUCGGGUUGUAAAGUACUUUCAGCGGGGAGGAAGGGAGUAAAGUUAAUACCUUUGCUCAUUGACGUUACCCGCAGAAGAAGCACCGGCUAACUCCGUG
rnacentral:rRNA from 1 species